rfam:Myotis brandtii contig269899, whole genome shotgun sequence.
GGCAGUUCUCAGGUAUAGCACCCUGGAAUUGUGCUCCUUCCUCUCUGGUUCCAGGUGUGUCACCCAAGAACCGCA